ACAUGGUGAUGAAAGAACAUGGUUAGUUCACAAACAUCUAGAUGGAGCUUUUCCAUAUUUAGAUUCAUCUUUCUGUGAACAUCCAGAGCAGUGCAACGCAUCAGAUCCAGAGAGGCACCUCAGUCCCUUCCUUGAAACGCUCCCACGUCACGGCUCAGUGCCGCAAGCGCUGCCUCACAUAUUUUCGUGAAUAUCUACACUUUACUAGUUCCAGAGUUUUGUGCCGUGGUAUCAGGUUUCUCUUAAAGAAGUAGUCCUUUCAAAAUGUAUUUCCAAUGGCUGUACAUUUGUGAUUGCCCGAUGUUCAGGGUGAGUACAUUAAUAACGUUCAAAAUGUAGUUUGCAGUUAUUCUGACAUCUCAACACUCUGGAAUUUGACCUACAGAACCCUGCACUCAAAUCCCGUGAAUCGAUAGCACUGCACAAAGCAAAGCCUGCUGCAGUGUUGCUGCUCAAGGGAAAAUUAAAGAGUAUGGUAUUGGUGCUCUUUUGCUACCAAGUUCAUCACAGCAAAAUCAUGAGCUCAUGAUAGACCACAUAAGUAUAAUGAAACUCCCAGCAUUUUGAUGUAUAAGGCAAGACCAAUGCCUCGACCUUUCUGGGCUAGCAAAAUGGAUACAGAAAUUGUUCAAGAGAUGUCUGUUCUUAUCCUGAGCCAGGCAGUGCGUAUAGAGAUAGGGUCACUGUGCACAAGAAGCAUCAUUCUAGAGGUGUUAAGAUGGUUUCCUACUGAAGUUUAGUGUUGCACUAAAACUGUUCAUUUCUGGCAAAAAUAAAUGUCAAACAUCACUGUGACGUGAGAAAUCGUUUUCUGUUAGUUUUGUCACCAACUAACUUGCAAAACAAAGUGAUUGUCACCAGAUCAGGAAGAUGAAGGUUAAGUUAAAAAAAAAAAGGUAUAAAAGUAUAUGCCUGUACCUUGCUUCCAGAUAUAGUCUCUAUCUGAAUGUUACUCAUCUGAUCAUCUACACCAGAAGUUGUUAUUAGAGAUUUAUAGAUUCUCAGGGAGAGGAAGAUUGCUCAACUUCAGGAAAAAAUAACUCUCCAAACUAUACAUUAAGUCAUACUGGAAAAAGGUACAAAUUACUUCUUUGAUUCUUCAAGUUUUUUCCUUCCUUGUGUAUGUAGAAAUGAAGCACAAAAUGCCACUUAUGAGAUCUGCUGGUGAGAAGAAAGUACAUGACUGUAGGUGUCAGAUUCUUUUCUUGGUAGGGUUCAUCCUCUCUUCUUCAAAUCCACAGUGAUUAUGUAGUGAAUUAUUAAUGGCGAGGUAAAUGUAGUUAUUCUGGUGGAAAAGAAAAAGAUGUGUACUGUUAUUAUGACUGAGAAACUGUUACAUGGCAAAAGGAUAGGCUGUCAUUUACUAACAACUUUUAUAUUUAAGGUUCUCUCAUCCUCUAUUUUCUCUUUAAGUAGGUCUAGACUGAGAUACUGGGACAAGAAUGAAAUUUCUCGUAUAAAGGUUACUCAGUGUAUAGGGCACUCCAAUUAGGCUCAUCCUUGCAGUGAGUUCUGCAUGGGUCAGUCCUGUGCUGGUUCUGAGCAGGAUCAUGUCCAACCCUCUUUGGGUUAGGGCAAUAGGAUUAAGGACUAACCAAGCAAAUUUAGUUAAAAGGAUGCUCACACUUCUUUUGUGAAAUAAAAAAGAGAUUUCUUUAUAGAAGAAAACAAUAUUCCAGUAAGCAUAGUCACAGAAGUGAAAGGAUAAAAAUAUGGUCCCAAGAAAAGCAGUUAAAAACUGUCCAACUGUCCAGUAUUUAAAUGAAGAAAUAUCCUUUUUUUUUUUUUCUUUUUUUUUCUUUUCCCUUCAAUCAUCUCCCUAAAUUGCAAGGAUGGUACAGACAUUUCAUGAUACUGACCAAAUGACCUACCAACUUGAGAAUAAUUUAAAUUAGUGCAAAGAAACUGUCUGGAAUUCUCCAUUUAUCCCCCAUAACUUAAAAAAAAUAAAAUGCAUAAAUGAUUGUUUUCCUCAUUCUGAAAUCUCUGUCAGCUAUAGUUUAUGCAUGUUAUAUGCUUUUAUCUAGUCUCUUUCUUUAACAGCCUUUGCAUGUCAUCUGUACUCGAUACAGAACAUAGAAAUAUGGUAUGUUCUUUCUAUUUGAAUGAUUACUAUUUAUUCUCUAUUACCAUGCUUUCUUCUUGUACAGCACCUGGUAUAAUGGGAUCCCAAUCUGCUUUAACACUCUGACUCUACUUGCUAUAAUGCAGUAGCGACACGUUUAGUUUCUAGACACAUGUGCACUUAUAUAAUGAAGUUAUGUGGGAUUCAGAGUAAUAUUCUUUUUUGUCUUUGAAGCUAAGCCCUUUAAAGAGUU
rnacentral:lncRNA from 7 species